rnacentral:lncRNA from 1 species
CCCUAGACGCCGCCGCAACAGGAAGAAGACCGUUUCCAUCUCAGAGUCUGAGGAGCCUCUACUCCCUGAACCAGAAGAUGAGCCCUCCAAGGAGACAAGUAAACGCCACUUUAGUGGUGGUCUCAACAAGUGCAUUAUCCUGGCCUUGGUGAUUGCUAUUAGCAUGGGAUUUGGACAUUUCUAUGGUGAGUGUUUGGAAACACUUUGUGUAGAAGCCACUUGCAUAUAGCAGCAAGACAAGAUGGCAUGAGAAGGCUGGGUGUGUGGCCUGUACCUGUAGUCAGCUACUUUACUCAGGAAGCAGAAGAAAAGGAUUGCUAAGUCUUUGGAAUUUGAGAUUAGCCUGGGCACUGUAGCAAGACCCUGUUCCAAAACAAAGCAUUAACAUUCCUUUUUUUUUUUUUCUUUGAGACAAGAUCAGGCUGGUUCUCUAACCUAUAAUCUUCCUCCAUCAGAAUCUCAAGUAUAAAUAAAGACUAGUAACAUAC